rnacentral:rRNA from 1 species
GACGAACGCUGGCGGCGUGCUUAACACAUGCAAGUCGAACGAGAAUCUAUGGAUCGAGGAUUCGUCCAAGUGAAGUAGAGGACAGUGGCGGACGGGUGAGUAACGCGUGAGGAACCUGCCUUUCAGAGGGGGACAACAGUUGGAAACGACUGCUAAUACCGCAUGACACAUAGAGAUCGCAUGGUACAGUGUGAAAAACUCCGGUGGUAUGAGAUGGACCCGCGUCUGAUUAGCUGGUUGGUGGGGUAACGGCCUACCAAGGCGACGAUCAGUAGCCGACCUGAGAGGGUGACCGGCCACAUUGGGACUGAGACAGGCCCAAAACUCCUAACGGGAGGCAGCAGUGGGGAAUAUUGCACAAUGGGGGAAACCCUGAUGCAGCGACGCCGCGUGAGCGAAGAAGUAUUUCGGGUAUGUAAAAGCUCUAUCAGCA